CCUACGGGGGGCAGCAGUGGGGGAUAUUGCACAAUGGGGGAAACCCUGAUGCAGCGACGCCGCGUGGGGGAAGAAGCGCCUCGGCGUGUAAAGCCCUGUCAGCAGGGAAGAAAAUGACGGUACGUGAAGAAGAAGCCCCGGCCAACUACGUGCCAGCAGCCGCGGCAACGUGGAGGGGGCAAGCGUUAUCCGGAUUUACUGGGGGUAAAGGGGGCGCAGGCGGCGAUGCAAGCCAGGAGUGAAAGCCCGGGGCCCAACCCCGGGACUGCUGUUGAAACCGCGUGGCUAGAGUGCAGGAGGGGCAUGCGGAAUGACUGGUGUAGCGGUGAAAUGCAUAGAUAUCAGGAGGAACACCGGUGGCGAAGGCGGCCUGCUGGACUGCAACUGACGUUGAGGCCCGAAAGCGUGGGGAGCGAACAGGAUUAGAUACCCCUGUAGUC
rnacentral:rRNA from 1 species